AGAAAAAGCCUUUUGAGAUUACCGUACAAGAGACAGUUUUUGUUUUAUGCAAUAUGAUGUAUUCUCAGGAUUAUAAAAGGGCCUACUCAACUUCUUUUUUUGCCUGUUUUCGUGAUAACCAGGCGAUUUCGUUAUCACGAGGAAACAGGAUAUUUUUCUUAUGAUGAAAGACCACGCCCCAAGUGUCAUGCAUUCAUUCCAUCCUGCCCCUCUCGUGCAUCAUUCUGUUACCGUGUAGACGGCCUGAUCCCCUCAUCUGGUCACUGAGGACAUUGACAACUGAGGACAUUGACAACUGCAGGAUUACUGGGCCAACCUUCUCCUCAAAUGACGAUGACGGAUUUGGACGUUGAUACUUGGCUAUGCACAGCAGUUCACCAGAAAAAAUUGAUUUGAUGACGCAAUCCUACCAUCGUGAUGCAGCAAAGCCCCAUGCUCGGUUCGUUUCUUCAUGUCAUACAACUGGAUGGUCUCAUCUUUGCUCCCUGUGGCAACAAACCUCUGGCUGGCAGCUACAGCUGAGAUGGAAGCUGUGUGAGUGUGAUGAGUGAAGUCGGCCUCAGCGGUCCACUC